rnacentral:lncRNA from 13 species
UGUGUGUGUGUGUGUGUGUGUGUGUGUGUGUGUGUGUGUGUGUGUGUGUGUGUGUGUGUGUGUGUGUGUGUGUGUGUGUGUGUGUGUGUGUGUGUGUGUGUGUGUGUGUGUGUGUGUGUGUGUGUGUGUGUGUGUGUGUGUGUGUGUUCUUAAACCUGUAAACCUUUUAAUUUCCCAGAACGGUCAGCUCCAACAGCGCCUGGACAAUGUGGAGAGGGACUUCCUCAUCUUCAACAGAGAAAGGUCAAAGAAGGCUGUAGUGGGAACAGAAGCAACAGGCCUCACCACGACAGAGAAGAACAAGGCUAUUGAAGACGGACAGAACAAUAACGUGGACCCGGCAGCCUACAUAUCAGGAUAGUGGACUACGGCUUUAGCCCGAAGUCGCUACGUGUAUCUGGCCGCAGCUUGUAGAUCAACACCCAAUCUCCCACUCUCCCUCUGCCGCCGGCCGGUGUAGGCACUCAGAUUGACCUUUAACCCUGACACAUUCCCCAACAGCCAGCCACUAUACCCAGACUGCUGGAGGUCACAUAGACUACUACUUUACAGAGUGAGUGGCACCUGACCUAGAGCAGACAGACAGACCCUGGCUCGUUCUUCUUUUCCUAGCCCAGGGAUGUGGCCUCUCAGUGGUCACCCCUUCUUACACUCUUCCCUACCCUGACUUGGUCUGACUUGGCCUGAUGCACCAUGAUGCCCUGGAGCUCCCCUCCCUCCACCAAGUCAGCCAGGCCCAGAAAAUAAUUUGCCUGCCAACGCAGCAGGAAGCAGAGACAGACAGGAUACAGCCACCAUGCCUGAUAAGCUGAGGCUAGGCUCAGUUCAGGAAGAAAAUGAAGCCUGAUGUUGACAAAUAGGAUACUAUGUCUCCAGUACAUGAAAACAGAGAAAGGGGGUGUAAGUUGCCUCACAAAAAAAUGAAUAAUAAUUAGAGAUGAGAUAUACUGCCUUUGUUUUCAAGACACCAACCACAUAUUCCUCUUGGAAUACAAAGGGAACCACUGACUUCAGCAGAGACAGAGUUUACUUAAUGAGUCUCUGUGAUGACGUUAGGCAUCACUUGUGCCUCUCAAGCAAACCAAGAUGAUGGGUACUUGACAUGGACAUUUGGGAUAUAAAUAUUUAUAGAUAAAUAGAUAUUUAUUGUCUGUUCCGCACAGAAAAUAGCUUUGCACACGCUUCUCCAUUAAUCGUAGAGGUCAAAGUGUAGUGUAUGAAUUGUCAUUCUCUUCUGUUUAAUAUAGGGGUGCCGUAUAGCUACUACUGUAUAUGACACCUGAUUGGUUUCCCCAUGCAGACAAUGAUCAUCAUAUAUGUAGUCUAAUUGAAGUCACCAUCCUGUUGUUAAAUAUGUGCUUGGAAAAUAGCUUUGCCAGUCUUUUGACCCUUUCUGCAAUACAAUGACAUAUUAUCCAAGGCUUUCCCUGUCCCAGGUUAUCAGAUCUCCUAUUGGCACCUUUAUAACAACCAUUAUCGGUCCAGAUAUUCUAAUUAUUGUAGGUUUUGAUAAAUGUAUGUCAUUCAAGGGCCCAAUGAAAGCAGAGUUGUAAAAUGAGUACUCUAUUUUGGUUUUUCAUUUGUUGUCACUGUGUGGACUAUUACCUGUAAAUGUGGUCAAGCAGCGAUUAUAAAAGUUGUGCCUUAAUGUAAUACUUUUCUUUGGGACCCCAACCUUAUUAUUUUAUUAAAUACACAAAAUGAGCAGUUAGGUAACAUCUGGGAAUUCAUAAGGAAAAGUUCACAAGUGUUUUUUUUUUUGCUAUUGAAAAGUAGUUACCUAACUAACUGCUUGUUUGUUUGUUUUUCUUUGAAUAAAUAGCCAGAUAAGAACUGUGGCCUUGUGUGGAUUUAGCAACAGUUGGAGGCAUUGUUUAAAAAGACUGAAAAACAUCAUUGUAAAAGAGAAAAAAAGAGUUGCAUUCAUCUCCUCCUGUGCAGACUGCCUUGGGUCAUACCACAGCACUUCCCAAUCCUAUUACCUGGAGCUGUGCCCCUAUAUAUGGAGUAUAGUGGUUAUGCUGGGUAUGGGGCGGCAGGGUAGCCUAGUGGUUGGACUAUUAACCGGAAGGUUGCAAGUUCAAACUGAGCUGACAAGGUACAAAUAUGUCGUUCUGCCACUGAACAGGCAGUUAAUCCACUGUUCCUAGGCCGUCAUUGAAAAUAAGAAUUUGUUCUUAACUGGCUUGCCUAGUUAAAUAAAGGUUAAAUAAAAAAUAAAAUAAAUAAAAAUAUGGAGUAUAGUGGUUAUGGUGGGUCUGUAUCUCUAUAUGGAGUAUAGUGGUUAUGAUGGGUCUGUACCUCUAUAUGGAGUAUAGUGGUUAUGAUGGGUCUGUACCUAUAUAUGGAGUAUAGUGGUUAUGAUGGGUCUGUACCUCUAUAUGGAGUAUAGUGGUUAUGGUCCUAGAGGGGAAGUCAAGAGCAUACCAAUCACACUACUGACUGAGUGGGAAUCAUCAUCUCCUGGAGCACAUAGAGAGAGGAUGAGAGAGAAAAGGAGGGGGGAUUGAGAGAGAUAUAUGGGGGAGAGAGAGUGGAGAAAAGAGAAAGGAGAAAGGACAGAGAGGAGGUGUUGAGAGAAAGAGGCAGAGAGAGGGAUGGGUGAGAGAGGGAGGGAGAAGGAGAGUUGUGUACAUAACCUGUGAAAACAAGGUGAUGAGUUUGCCAGAGAAAUAGCUCAGAGGGUUAUUAACCCUCAACUACACUAGACCUGUCAUUGAAGGUUAAACACUAGACCUGUCAUUGAAUGUUAAACACUAGACCUGUCAUUGAAGGUUAAACACUAGACCUGUCAUUGAAGGUUAAACACUAGACCUGUCAUUGAGGGUUAAACACUAGACCUGUAGUUGAGGGUUAAACGCUAGACCUGUAGUUGAGGGUUAAACACUAGACCUGUCAUUGAGGGUUAAAUGCUAGACCUGUCAUUGAGGGUUAAACACUAGACCUGUCAUUGAGGGUUAAAUGCUAGACCUGUCAUUGAGGGUUAAACACUAGACCUGUCAUUGAGGGUUAAACACUAGACCUGUCAUUGAGGGUUAAACACUAAACCUUUAGUUGAGGGUUAAAAGCUAGAAUUAAUGAUGGCAGAUAGAUAAAUAAAUUCCAUCUCUAUGCUUGGUGUGUGAUCAAUGUUCUAUUAUGUACUGCAAUGAAACACUGCCGCCUGGUGUUUGUGAGUAGUGUACUUAAACACAUUUUACCUUGGCAUCAAGGGCAGUUUAUUUAGUCCCUGCCAACAGUAGACUGAGAAAACAGGAUUUAGUUGUACUCAGAUGUCAAAGACGUGAAAUGAAAUAUGGUGUUUACAAAAAUCCUUUCACCUUUAAUUUAUUUAUGUCUAUGCUAAUCCAGUAAUCUAUUUCAAAUAAAGAUGAGGAUAAGAAAAUGUGGUCACGACUAAUUGUGUGUACAAUGGUAGUAUUUGUGCCAUGCCGAGGGUUGGAUGAGUCCGUGUUAAUGAUGUGUCACUGAUAUGUUGGAACUGAGGUAAGCACUACUGAGAAUGUACUGUUUUUUAAAGUAUUGGUUUUGCCCUUUAUGCCUGAAUUGGCACAGGGGAACCACAGAACACCCACAAUAAAAUGAUCUAGAGAGAGAGAGAGAGAGAGAGAGAGAGCGCUGUGUGCUCUCUGUCUCUCUAGAACACUCUUAUGUUGUGUGUAAAUCCCUCAGUAGCCUUAACAGCUAGCUAUCUGGAUGAGUGACAGGGCUCUAACACAUUAGGGACCUUAUCAAUGUGAGCCAAAAGGACAAACUGAUGAAAACAGUGAUAAAUCAGACCCAUACACAGCACUGGGUGGGACAGAGACACACUGGAGAACGGCACCAAAGAGAAUAGGCUAAGUAUAGCACCCCCCAGACUACCCAUACAAUCAAGUGUAGUCCCGUGGAAACAGGAAGCACAGUUUAGGCUUGAUUCGUUUGUCUGAUGUGUUUUUAUGAGAGGGCUUGGGUGCACUUCCUCCUCCAGAUUUGGCUCCAGUAUUUGUUGUUACAGAUAU